AAUACAUGCAUAGGACAUUUCCUAAGCAAAUCUUUGAACCUUUCACAUGCUUCAUAUAGUGUUUCAUCCUCUAGUUGCUGAAAGGAUGUUAUUUCAUUUCUUAGGU
rfam:Gossypium raimondii Chr02_contig_589, whole genome shotgun sequence.